AUUGAACGCUGGCGGCAUGCCUUACACAUGCAAGUCGAACGGUAACAGGUCUUCGGAUGCUGACGAGUGGCGAACGGGUGAGUAAUACAUCGGAACGUGCCCAGACGUUGGGGAUAACGAGGCGAAAGCUUUGCUAAUACCGCAUACGAUCUAAGGAUGAAAGCAGGGGACCGCAAGGCCUUGCGCGUUUGGAGCGGCCGAUGGCAGAUUAGGUAGUUGGUGGGAUAAAAGCUUACCAAGCCGACGAUCUGUAGCUGGUCUGAGAGGACGACCAGCCACACUGGGACUGAGACACGGCCCAGACUCCUACGGGAGGCAGCAGUGGGGAAUUUUGGACAAUGGGCGAAAGCCUGAUCCAGCAAUGCCGCGUGCAGGAUGAAGGCCUUCGGGUUGUAAACUGCUUUUGUACGGAACGAAAAGGCUCUGGCUAAUACCUGGGGCACAUGACGGUACCGGAAGAAUAAGCACCGGCUAACUACGUG
rnacentral:rRNA from 1 species